rnacentral:rRNA from 1 species
GAGUUUGAUCCUGGCUCAGAGUCAACGUUGGCGGCGUGCGUAACACAUGCAAGUCGAACGAUCCUUAAGUGGCUUGCCAUUUAAGGAGAGUGGCGAACGGGUGAGUAACACGUGAGUAAUCUGCCCUCAAGCGGGGAAUAACUCCGCGAAAGCGGUGCUAAUACCGCAUAAUACUCUAAAGCAUAUGCUUUUAGAGUCAAAGCCUUCGGGUGCUUGAGGAUGAGCUUGCGCCAUAUUAGCUUGUUGGUGGGGUAAUGGCCUACCAAGGUUAUGAUGUGUAGCCGGCCUGAGAGGGUGUACGGCCACACUGGAACUGCGACACGGUCCAGACUCCUACGGGAGGCAGCAGUGGGGAAUUUUGCGCAAUGGGCGAAAGCCUGACGCAGCGACGCCGCGUGGAGGAUGACGGCCUUCGGGUUGUAAACUCCUGUCAGAGGUGAAGAAAGCCCUUUCGGGGGCCUGACGGUAACCUCAGAGGAAGCCCCGGCUAACUACGUGCCAGCAGCCGCGGUAAUACGUAGGGGGCAAACGUUGCUCGGAAUUACUGGGCGUAAAGGGUGUGUAGGUGGCUGAGCAAGUCUAAGAUGAAAUCCCGAGGCCUACCCUCGGAACUGUCUUAGAUACUGCUCAGCUUGAGGAUGGUUGAGGAGAACGGAAUUCCCGGUGGAGCGGUGAAAUGCGUAGAUAUCGGGAGGAACAGAAACCUACACAGGUGCUGCAUGGCUGCCGUCAGCUCGUGUCGUGAGAUGUCGCGUUAAGUCGCUGAACGAGCGCAACCCUUAUCUUUAGUUGCCAGCGGGUCAAGCCGGGCACUCUAAGGAGACUGCCGGUGUCAAACCGGAGGAAGGUGGGGAUGACGUCAAGUCAUCAUGGCCUUUAUGCCCAGGGCUGCACACGUGCUACAAUGGCGCGUACAAAGGGAAGCGAACCCGCGAGGGGAAGCAAACCUCAAAAAGCGCGCCUCAGUUCGGAUUGCAGGCUGCAACUCGCCUGCAUGAAGCCGGAAUCGCUAGUAAUCGCAGGUCAGCUAUACUGCGGUGAAUAUGUUCCUGAGCCUUGUACACACCGCCCGUCAAGCCACGAAAGCGGGGGGCAUCCGAAGUCGCCGAGCUAACCGUAAGGGAGCAGGUGCCGAAGAUGAACUCCGUGAUUGGGACUAAGUCGUAACGAGGUAGCCGUAGGGGAACCUGCGGCUGGAUCACCUCCUUUCU